CGCCGCACUCUGAAGGGGAAAUCAGAUAUACGGAGAUUUUCUGCCCGACGACCACCGAUCCAAUUCCCGUUUAAUCGCACAAAGUGUAUCCGAGGCGACGUUAGGAAUCCGUUUUCAAGGGGAUGACGCUGUCCUAGCGCGCUCGGCUGUGGAGGGGGAGGGGCCGCGCAAUCACGCCCUACGUCGAAACACUGGCGUUUUCUACCACUGGGGACGCUACAGCACCGCUACAACGAGCUGCCCACAACCUCUACGUUCUCCUCACCCUGGCUAUCAAAGUCGACCGUCGUCUCUGGAAUAGCGACCAAGAAUGCUGGGAGGAGGAACACGAGGAGGCUCGAGAACAGCUGCAAGUUCACCCCAGGCACAUCGGUAAGAAAGUGCUAUAAAGCAGUCGAGAGGGCUGCCAUGACAUGAGUACCCAAGUAAUCCCAGCUCUCCGGCCGGCAGCCGAGGAACCGAUGUAGGUGAGCCAAUCCUCCAUGUUUAAUGCUCCUUUUUGCUGUUUGCCCACGGUCAGCCUAUCGGCAGGCUUCAACUCCCUCCAACAGGCAGUGUUAUUGAACUCCGGAGCCACAACAAGCUUGAUGGACGCUCGGGUGGUGGUGAGCACUUCCUUUCUUCCUGCCACGGGGGAGGCAACAGCCUGCUAAAGGGGCUGUUGGAGCAUAAAUUAUAGGUCAAGAAGUAUGAGUUUCACGUGUCAACCAUUUCUUUCCUGGGAUUUGUCAUCUCACAGGGUCAGAUUCAGAUGGAACCUGCUAAGACACAGGCUGUUGAUAAUUGGCUGAUACCUUAGUCUUGCUGAGAUGUGCAACGGUUCCUGGGCUUCGCCAAUUUUUUACCAUAGGUUCAAUUGUCGCUUCAGCAGCAUCUCCUCUUCACGCUCUGAAUCUAACAUCUUACAUCUAAAUCUAAGUUCCAGAAACAGACGUGGCCUUCACCCAUCUUAAGCACAGCUUCAUGCCGGCUCCUUCACAUGCUGGACCCAGCCCAUUAAUUUGUGGUGGAGGUUGACGCUUCAAACUAUGGAAUCGGAGCUGUGCUGUCAAAGGGGGAUGCUGAUAAUAGAAGGUUGCAUCCUUGUGCUUUCAUGUCCUGCAAGAUGUUUCCUGCGGAGAAGAACUAUGACAUUGGAAACCGCAUACUUCUGGCAGUCAAGGCGGUACUAGAGGAGUGGCGACACGGGCUAGAGGGUGCAGAGCAGCUAGUGUUUACCGACCACAAGAACCUGAAGUACCUUAAGUCAUCCAAAACUCUCGGCAAGCUCGGUGGUCACCCUUCUUAAACAGAUUCUACUUUUACCUAUCAUAUUGCCCCAGCUCUAAAAACACCAAGCCAGAUGCACUGUCUCACGUUCAUGACGCUGAGGAAGAUGUCGAGUCUCCUGAACCCAUCCUUCCUGCAACCUUUCUGGUUGGAGCAGUCACUUUGACCCAAGAACCAAGUCAAGGAGGGGGGUCGGGACCAACUACCACAGCCAGCCUGUCCCCCCAACCCUGUGUUUGUUCCACCCAAAAUCUGGGGCAAGGUCAUUCAUGGGGCCCAUGCCUCUACGUUUAUCAUUUUAGCAUCUGUCGACUGCCUUUUGUAAUCGGUCGUCCUUUCUGGUAGCUGUCUGUACUCAAGGACGUCAGAGAGUAAGUUGCAGCCGGUUACUCCUGUGCCUCUCAUAAGAGCACACAUCAGUGUCCAUCCGGCUUUCUCUAGUCACUUCCAGUUCCCCACCAUUCCCCAAACCCAAGAAUUAAGAGUCCAGGUGAAGUCCUCACUCAUGGUUGAAAAAAGGAUAAAAAAAUACCUAUAAAUCCACGUUGACAUAUGGUUGAAAUAAUGUCAGUUGUUUUUGUAACGUUGAAACGUUUAACGCUAAUGGUUGUAAAAACAUUGACAAAAUACAAAAAAAUCAAUGUUGACGUGUCUGAAAUAAUGUCAGUUGUUUUUUAACAAUAUAAUGUAACAAUGUUUAUGCUUAUGACUGUAAAAACGCUAUAAAAAAACAACCUUGAAAUUGAAAGAAUUAGUUAAAAUGACAGAUUGUUUUCAACAUAUCAUUAGUCAGACUUUAUUUAGAUGUAAAUAAUUAUUUAUUAUUUGUUUAUUUUUAUUUCUUCUUAUAAAGUUUUGCUCAUCAUGCAUUACAUUUUUAGCCGUUUUAUUCAGUUCUAUUCAUAGAUUGUAUGUGGUUCUCAUAAUAAAUGAACUAUCUAGACUAUAGUCUCAAUAAUAUAAUUCAAACGGUGAUGCGAAGGUUUCUGCUGCAGCAGAGAAAACACCCCGCAACUAUUUUAGAAAGAGCAGCUAUUUUUAAGGUAAGUCAAAACUAUUAAAACAUAUUUAGACUGUAUAAUAGGCUGUUACUCUAAGAUUAUGUUUGAAGUGUUUGCAUUUUUUUACACUGGUUUAAAUGUAAAAAAAAUUAUAAAAAAAAUCUAAAAAUCUUUUACACUGGUUUAAAUGUGCAAAAUUUGUGAAAAUUAUCUAAAUGUUUGAUUUUUGUCCUUAGAUGCUGUCAUCACAACUUAUGAAACUACAUUAUUGAACAUACAAAAAACAAUGAACACAAAGGUUGGGUGGUGGUGGAAAAAAGAUGUAACUUUCAUUAAGUGUUUCUGUUAAACUUUGUCUUCCAUAAGCCAAGUGGUGCUGUUUUAUCCUUUGUUUUGUGGUUCUAGUUCAUCGUGGUAACUUGUUUCCGCGGGAUUAGUGGGAUUAGUUUGGUAAAUUAGAUUUUAAUGACAGUGUAAGUUGCAAUGUUGGUUAUACAAUAUUUAAUUAACAUAAAUGUUAUCUUUACAUUUUUUUUGGCAUUUUAAUUGUAGGUAUGUAUUUAUUUCAUGUUCAAUGCUGGCCCGGAAAAAAAAAGUACGCGUUCCGCCCAAACAUAUAUUACUGGUGAGCAAUGGAAAGCAUGUAAAAGAAGGCGGCAGUAUAAGACAAGAUGCUAAAGUUUCACAUCGUUAUGAAAAUAAUAUAAAUCAAUGUAAACAUAACAUUGCUAAAAGACCUUGAAUCAACAUAAAUGUAACAUUGAUAACUGACCAUAAAUCUAACGUUGAUGAACAACCAUAAAUCAACUUAAAUGUAAUGUUGACGAUCUACCAUAGUGCAACUUUGAAAUAACGCUGACAAACGAUCAUUAUGCAGUGUUAAAAUAAUGUUGCCCUAUUAGUGUUGAUUCACCUUUCAAAAUCUAAACAUAAUUCAAUGGUCAUUUAACCAUAAUUAUUCAACCUCAACGUUAAAAUGUCUGCUGGGUAAUCCAAAAUAAAGCCAAAUAAUUGGACUAUCAAUUCUGCAAAGGAAACACUUAAAGUCAAUCACCUUCAAAGAAGGCGGAAAACCAUAUCAAAAAGAAAUAUCACAUCAUAUCAUUUUAAAAUAUCAUAUAAAAGGUGCUAUGUUCUAUAUUAGUGCACGUGCACUAUGUGCUGCAGCC